ensembl:lncRNA
CCGCACGCAGCCCGGAGCUCUGACCGCCCGCUGUGCUGUGAGGAAGCACCGGCCGGAACUCUCGCGUUUAACUCUUAACACGGGCCCGCAGCCGCGACAAAAGUUCCGAGCGGCUGUUCCGAGCGGCGCGGAGCACCCGCGGGCGGUUGGGCUGCCGUCAGCGGUUCGCAGCCCGGGCUUAGGAGCGCUGUUCUCAGCCGUCGUUCGAGCGGGGGAAGCGAGCUCUUAUCCCAACCGCUCGAAUGCGACGCGACGGCAGCGCCCUCCUCACGGGUGUCCGCCGCCGGCAGCCCUCGGGUCGGCCGCGGCACGGAGACUUCACCCAUCAGCCCUCGGUUCACUGCACGGACCGAAAGCUUCGAACGGCUCCGUAGCGGCUCGCGGCUAUUUUCCCCAUUACAAACGAAACGCUCCGUUCGAAGCUCUCGCUCCCGAAGCGCCUUUUCCCUCCUAACGGCCGGGCGGUAACGCCUGGCUCCUGAGCCGUAGACCCGACGCGGUUAUCUCUGCAGCACGAAGCGAUCGGGAACGCCUCUCGGUCCCUUCUCGGAGCCAAGCGGCGGAGACGCGGCCACCGCCGAGCCCCGACGGGGCGCGGAGCUCCGUGCUGCUGGCUGAGCUCCCGGCGGGUUAAGCCGCCGCCGCAGCCGGGCGAGGUGUCGACGGUUGGCGUUAUCGAUACGCUGCCCGCCCGACCGCGGGUCAAUUGGCAUUUGCCUGCCUUUGACCUGGCGCUUCUGACGCGCGCACAUUGAAGGGCGCGAUCUUUCCCUCUGUUGUAAGGGACAGAAAACGAGCGGAUGCGCUGUGGCUGAACAAGACAUUCCAGAAUACAGCUCUGUAGCCCGCCGAGAGAGACCCUGAAAUAUUCGGGGUGAGGGCAUCUCCCCCGCUGUAUCCCCGUUCGGCCCCUGCGGGGUCCCUCUCUGGAGCACCCUUCGCCCAACCCGAGCAUCCCCCCGCGCCUCUCUCUGCUCCCGGGCAGCCACGCUUUGGAAGCUGCUUUAUUUCAAAGGCAGCUUUAAAGCGAGUUUCGAGGAAGCCGCCUCCUUUCCUCCUAAUUUUGAUUUGAGCUUCACAACGGGGUGGCGAGCGAAGGAGAUAAACAGUAGGUGAAGAACGGUGGUGAGCCCGAUAGCGAUCUGCACCUAAUCGUUCCGACUGCGUGCGCGGCUGACUCAGCGCCUCGUUGCCCUGUGCUUAGAGAGCCGCAGCGCGUUUACACGGCUUUGUUUGUGCUCCCCGGCGUUUCCACACGCCGACUUGGAAGUUGGCGUUUUAGGUAGCAGCCACCGAUUCCGCAUCGCUUUCAGCCGUCCAAAGUUGCCGGGCGCGCCGCUUGUCUCACUGACACCGGCACGAUCGCUGCUCCCACCCCGUGCGGAGCCACUGAGACCCUCUUACAACGUGGAGCACACCUGGAGUUAAGAGAGUUUUAAGCCUGUCCUUAUCGCGCACGGCGCGCUGCGUUCACCCAUUUGCUCUCAGACAGCGCUUUUGAACGCUCGGUAUUCUUAUUUUUCAAUGACAUUCGCUUAUUAUUAGAGCAGCUGGUAGCCCCAGUGAAGUGCCUGGCAAAGGGCUCCAUCGUAAAACACUGCUUUCUAAGUUUAUAGUUUCUAAUUUGGCUGUGAAAGUGUGAUUCUGGCUGCAAUUUGGCACUCGAGUGCUCAGCUGGAGUGUAAACUUCUCAUAAUAAAAACACUGGUUUAGUGGGUUUGCUGUUUUAAGUUAUAAGAGAUUUAACGAAGUUUUGACUAGUUUUGGAAGCCCAGAGAGGUCUUUCUAUUUAAAUUAGUAAACGUUAUGAUUUUGGUAAGGGUAGGGUACGUUCUGCGCCUUUUUUUUUUUUUUUAAUGAUAAUAAUAAUAAUUAUUAUUAUUAUUGUGAUUUAAUGUGCAGUUAUUUUUAAGGCAAGCUAAUGCUUCAGGUCUUUAUCUCUGUGCUUUCAGAUCCCGAAAUUGCUCCUGCAGGAACACCAGAGGCAGGACUUGCACAGCAGCUGCUGGCAGCUCUGGGCAGAGGGUGCUGAUGGGGUCCCGACUACUUCCAGCCGUAAAGGAAAGUUCACAACGCAGCCCAUCUCGACUUGCAAAGAGACAGAUUUGCAGAGAUGAUGCAGCCUGGGAACGCUGAUAAGAACAGCAGACAAAGAUGUCAUCGAGUUAAAAAAAAGAGUUGGGGUGGUUCCUUGCUAGGACCUGAACACCAAAUGACUAUUGCCUAGGAUCCAAAGGGGAGACGUAAGCUUGCUGCAGAAUUCCUGGUCAGACUUGGAUGGUCCAGAACUGGCAGCCAAAUGCCUCUUGAGCACAAAGCCGAUCAGGACGUGUAAGCUUCCCUCCCUUCUCUCAAGUGCCAAAAUCAGAGUGGAUGGAGACUGCUGACUGCCUCGGGUCCAGGCUUUCCUGCUGGAGAAGUUGCCUCUAGCUUUUAUUCAAGAGAAUUCAUUUUGUCCAAACGAGUGAACCUUCACAUCGCUCCCAUCUCUGUCUUGUACAGGCUUUAUGGUGUGGUUCAAUAGCUCACGGUUAGGAAAGAAGAAGGUGUCUUCCCAUUCUACAGGAUUCUUCUACAAGCUCUUCAAAUGUCACUCGGCAAAGAUCAGGAAUCCUUCACUGACGUCCCCACAGUCUGGGCUGCUCUCACUCACCCACAUUCUGCCCCUUUCUGUUGUCCCGUGGAUGGCUAAGAAGCGGGGGCUGAGUGCCCUCUAAUCCAGUGGUUAAGGGCCUCACUGCGGAACGAUAAAUCAGAUUGUACGUUCUUGCAGUAGGUCAUGAAGCUUUUUAACCAGGAGAUCUUUUCAGAGGCGGAGAGAUCUCUAAAGAUUUUUACGUUUAAAUUCAAUUUCAGUUUUAAACUGCCCCCGAGUUUGUCUUCACGUUUCACUUCUUCAGGCUGUCCAGCAGGCAUAGAUGAUGAUUAUUAUUUUUUUUUCCCUGGAAUAAAAACAUUUUAAUGACCAGUUUUGUUCAGGGAUGAUUCAUACUCUUAAACCACCCAAGGUUGUUCUCUUAGUCACGGGUGUUAGACAGGUCCCAAAAAAUCCAUGCCAUUUUGAAGACAAGGUCUUCGAUUUCACUGGAUAAGAUUGUGGUUUGGAUACCUCUGGCAGGCACUUCAGGAUACCUAAGUGUGCACAAGGAGACUAAAAAGACUGGAGUUAAGUGUUUAGGCUGUUCCCUUCUGAAGAAAAGCAAAGUGUGCUUCAGGAAUGAGCUUUCCUACCUCUGGACAGUGACAGAACACUUCUGCUCCUACACGAUGAGUGUUCUGCUGGGAAAGGAGUCCCUCCACUUUGCGGUUGCUCUGUGAGUUAUCUUUUGGUGUAAGAAGGAAAAAAAAAAAGGGGAUUGAAGAGUUCUUGGUUGCCUGGCCUGCAUCCUUACCCCAGCCUUCAGAAUUCUGCUAGACUUUGUAUUGUCCUCACAACAUACUUCUAACAGUCUUCAGCAGGAUAUGUAAUAACUCCCAUUAACAUGGACAUUGAACUAAAGCUAACAGUUUUAGGGUUCUCAGGUUUCAUGGGAAUGACUUGAGAGUACUAACAAUAAGCUUGGAUCUACCAAUGCAGAAAGUUAGAACCUGUCUCUUCCUGCUCUUCACCAACACUAAAAGCUGUGGUCAGAUUAGUCAGAUGAUCCAGAUGAAAGCUAACAGACCAAAAAAGAAGACUUCAGUUUUUACCAGCCACACAAACAUCCAUUCGUUUGUGAAUGCGGGUGUAUGAGAAGCAGGGAUAGGAUGAAGUCAAAGAGAAAGACAGGACCUUCCAUUUCAGCAGUGUCUCUGUCUGGAAUCAGCUAAGAUACCCAUGAAAUCUCAUCCCGUGUGACAGACAGAAAUUCAAACAAGGAAUCACAGAAUUGUAGGAGUUGGAAACAAAGACGACCUGUUUACCUAUUGGAGAGUAAAGCUGGGAUGGAUUUUGAAUUAUCAUGAAGUUAAAUUCUCCAUUGAGAGAGAAACAACGCUAGCAGCAGCUCACAAAGGCCAGCAGUCCUGCUGAUCAUGUUUUUAAAUGCCCUGGUGGCAUCUGUGAAUUAAGCAUUUCCUUUUUUUGCUUUGCGGCCAACGCAUAGUACGUUGAAAUCAGAUAGAUUUGGCAUAGAUCCAUCGUCACUGGCUGUUUCUCUGUAUACUAUGUUUACUUAAGACAAUGAAGUAUUGGAGAAAGAUGUUUGAGGCUGGUUGAGGAGUAUUAAGUAAUAUGCCUGCUCACUACAGAGAAGGCUGUAAUAAGCGUCCUCAGUCAAUAGCUUCUGGCCUGGAGCAUGAACAGUGCUUGAAUGGAGCCUAAAACUGCCAUUUUACCUCCAGAAAUGAAGAGAAAAAAAAAAAUGAUACUUCCAUGUUCACCCUAGCCUUUCUGUCACCCAGUAGACUGGAGGGAAAGUUCCUACUGCAGUAGCAUAGCUAGCCAGCAGGGGCAGCGGUGGCACAGGUAAAGGCUCCCAAAGAGACCUUUCGCUCUCUCCUUGCGCUGGUGGCUGUGCUAGUUGAGAAGUCCCUGUCAACUGGUCAGUCUGGAGAUUUCAUAUGUUCAGAACCAGAUGGGAGCUAGGGGGUAUGCUCUCCUGAUGUCGUUCCUCACCUUCCUCACAGGCAGAUCUCCAAAGCUUGAACUUCCAAGUCACAUCCCACCUCACGGUGCUUCCCACACUUUUCUUUCUGUGAUCUCAGGCUCUUCACAGUCAUAGAAUCACAGAAUGGCCUGGGUUGGAAGAGAGCUCAAGGAUCAUCACGUUCCAACCUACCUGUCAUAGGCAGGAUUGCCCACCACUAAAUCAAGUACUAGGUCAGGUUCCUCAGGGCUCCAUCCAACUUUGCUUCGAACACCUCCAGAGAUGGGGCAUCCACAGCCUCUCUGGGCAGCCUGUGCCAGCACCUCACCGCUCUCUCAGUAAAAAGCUUCCCCCUGACAUCUAAUGUAAUCUUCCCUCCUUUAGUUUAAAACCAGUCCCCCUUGUCCUAUAACUAUCUAUCAGUGCAAAAAAGUAGAGUUGCCUCCUGUUGCUAAUCUCUCUUUAAACAUUGGAACGCCGUAUUCCACAGCCUUGUCUUCUCAAGACUGAACAAGCCCAGCUCCUUCAGUCUGUCUUCAUAGGAGAGGUGCUCCAGCCCUCUGAUCAUCUUUGUGGCCCUCCUCUGGACCCUCUCCAAAAGCUCCACACCUUUCCUGUGUUGGGGGCCCCAGAUCUGCACACAGUACUUCAGAUAGGAUGUCACAAGGGCAGAGUAGAUAGGGACAGUCACCUCCCUCACUCUGCUGGCCACUCCUCUUCUGAUGGAGAGCCCAGGAUACCAUUGGCCUUCAGGACUGCAAUUGCACACUGCUGGCUCAUGCUAAGUUUUUCAUCUACCAGGACCACUGAGUCCUUCUCAGCAGAUCUGCUCUCAAGGAGUUCUUCCAGUCUGUAUACAUGGGAUUAUCCUGACUCAAGUACAAAACCUUGCACAUUGCUUUGUUGAACCUCACUGGUUCACAUGGGCCCACCUUUUGAGUUUAUCAAGGUCCCUCUGGAUGGCAUCCUUUUCUUCUGCCAUGUCAACUGAACCACACAACUUCGUUUCAUCAGAAAAUGUGCUGAGAGUGCACUCGAUCCCAUCACCUGUGUCACUGAUAAAGAUGUUAAAGAGUACUAGUCCCAAGACAGACCCAUGGGGGGCACCACUUAUCACCAACCUCCAUCUGUACAUACAGCUAUUGACCACAACCCUCUGGCUAUGACAUUCCAUCCAAAUUCUUUUCUGCUGAAUAGUCCACCCUUCAAACCCAUCUCUCUCAAUUUAAAGAUAAGGAUGUGGCUGGGGACCAUGUCAAAGGCUUUGGAGAAAUCCAAGUAGAUGACAUCAGUUGCCUUCCCUUUAUCCACCAAGGCCAUCCCUCCUAGAAGGCCACCAGAUUGGUCAGGCACGAUCUUCCCUUGGUGAAACCCUGCUGGCUGUCUCACCUGCUCAUCUCUUAGGUGUCUUAACAUGUCUUCCACGAGGAUCUGUUUCAUGAUCUUUCCAGGCACAAAGGUGAGGCUCACCAGCCUGAUGCUCAUGCAUUUCUGAGCUUCCGGCUCCUCUUAACUCCAUGAGACCCUUUUCCAGGAUUAAAUAAACCCAACAGAGAGGAACAUGCUUAUCCAUAGCACUGACAUCUGUAAGAGGAAAUUGCUGUAGUUUCACAUAUCUUAAUAACUGAAUAUUUCAUUAAGAGCCUGCAUGUCUGGACACUCGAUCAGAUCCUCAGUGAUCCAAAUCUGUCAAGCUUCUAUGGAGAAACCCCUGGCAAUCACAUUUUUUUAUCUUAAUCGACCCUUUGUCUCAUUGUCUCUAACACCAAUGAAACCACAAAUGGUGCUCCAAGAUCAUUUGCCUUGAUAAAAAUGGUAGCAAAUUUAAGAAACACAGAUAUGUAAGUCUUAUUACAA